AGAAUGAACGCUGGCGGCAUGCCUAACACAUGCAAGUCGAACGAGACCUUCGGGUCUAGUGGCGCACGGGUGCGUAACGCGUGGGAAUCUGCCCUUGGGUUCGGAAUAACAGUGGGAAACUACUGCUAAUACCGGAUAAUGACCUAAGUCCAAAGAUUUAUCGCCCAGGGAUGAGCCCGCGUAAGAUUAGCUAGUUGGUGGGGUAAAGGCCUACCAAGGCGACGAUCUUUAGCUGGUCUGAGAGGAUGAUCAGCCACACUGGGACUGAGACACGGCCCAGACUCCUACGGGGGGCAGCAGUGAGGAAUUUCCGCAAUGGAGGCAACUCUGACGGAGCAACGCCGCGUGCAGGAGGAAGGUUUUCGGAUCGUAAACUGCUUUUCUCGGGGACGAGCAAGGACGGUACCCGAGGAACGAAGCCCCGGACUAACUACGCGCCAGCAGCCGC
rnacentral:rRNA from 1 species